CCAGGAACCGAAAGAGAAGAAACACAUUUUCAAACUCGAGAUACUAGCAGGAAAUGCGAGAAAGGGACGGUCGAUGAGCUUUCUCAGAUGAUGCACUUUGAGCAGUGUUUACACAGCGGCAUUGUGGUCGUACAUGUUAAUUCCAAAAAUGAUAUUAAAGCUGUGGGUUACAUCAAUGUCAGCAACAUUUUAUCUGGAAAGUGUCUUGCUGAAAGGAAAUAUCUAUAUGGAAUUUCAUUGUAAUGCCUUUUUGGUAUCAAGAGGAAUGUGAAUGUGAAUGCUUUUCAAUGAGAGAAUUAUUCGAAUGAUCCAGUCAAUUGUUUAGA